AAUCCAGACUCCUACGGGAGGCAGCAGUGAGGAAUAUUGGUCAAUGGCCGCAGGGCUGAACCAGCCAAGUCGCGUGAGGGAUGACGGUCCUAUGGAUUGUAAACCUCUUUUGUCAGGGAGCAAAGGGCGCCACGUGUGGCGCUUUGCGAGUACCUGAAGAAAAAGCAUCGGCUAACUCCGUGCCAGCAGCCGCGGUAAUACGGAGGAUGCGAGCGUUAUCCGGAUUUAUUGGGUUUAAAGGGUGCGCGGGCGGAAUGUCAAGUCAGCGGUAAAAUUUCGGGGCUCAACCCCGUCGUGCCGUUGAAACUGGCGUUCUUGAGUGAGCGAGAAGUAUGCGGAAUGCGUGGUGUAGCGGUGAAAUGCAUAGAUAUCACGCAGAACUCCGAUUGCGAAGGCAGCAUACGGCAGCGCUACUGACGCUGAAGCUCGAAGGCGCGGGUAUCGAACAGGAUUAGAUACCAGUAU
rnacentral:rRNA from 1 species